UACGAAGGGGGCGAGCGUUGUUCGGAUUUACUGGGCGUAAAGGGCGCGCAGGCGGCCCUCCAAGUCAGGCGUGAAAGCCCCGGGCUCAACCCGGGAACAGCGCUUGAGACUGGGGGGCUUGAGUUCGGGAGAGGAGAGUGGAAUUCCCAGUGUAGAGGUGAAAUUCGUAGAUAUUGGGAAGAACACCGGUGGCGAAGGCGGCUCCCUGGACCGACACUGACGCUGAGGCGCGAAAGCGUGGGGAGCAAACAGG
rnacentral:rRNA from 1 species